rnacentral:rRNA from 1 species
GCAUAACGCGAAGAACCUUACCUAGGCUUGACAUGCAUCCCUAAGCACGUGAAAGCGUGUGACCCUUCGGGGGAUUUGCACAGGUGCUGCAUGGCCGUCGUCAGCUCGUGUCGUGAGAUGUUGGGUUAAGUCCCGCAACGAGCGCAACCCUUGUGACUAGUUGCCAGCACGUUAUGGUGGGAACUCUAGUCAGACUGCCCAGAUCAACUGGGAGGAAGGUGGGGACGACGUCAGGUCAGUAUGGCCCUUACGCCUAGGGCUGCACACGUACUACAAUGCCCAGCACAAUGAGAACCGAGACCGCGAGGUGGAGGAAAUCUAAAAAACUGGGCCCAGUUCGGAUUGGAGGCUGCAACUCGCCUCCAUGAAGUUGGAAUCGCUAGUAAUGGCGCAUCAUCUACGGCGCCGUGAAUACGUUCCCGGGUCUUGUACACACCG